rnacentral:rRNA from 1 species
CCUUUUCGGUAAAAAGACAGUUAGGUGGUGUAAUAAGUUUAUUUAAUUUUUAUUGGGAAGUAAAAUUCGUAAAUAAUUUAGAAAAUUAAUUGAAACUAAAAGACUGAAGCUGUGAUGCCCUUGAGGGAAACUGGGAUUAGAUACCCCAUUAUUCUCGGAAAUAAAAAUAUAAUCUACCAGAGUACUAUGAAUUGAUAAUAUUUAAAACUCAAAGAGCUUGGCGGUGUUUUAGACUCUUUAGGGGAACCUGUCUCAUAAUCGACAAUCCACGUAAAACCUGACCUUUAUUUGCUUUCAGUUUGUAUACCGUCGUCGUCAGGUAACUUUUUAGAAAAAAGAAGUUAGCAAAAGAGUCUUAAUAAGCUCUUACGUCAGAUCAAGGUGCAGCCAACAUAAAGGAGAGGAUGGGUUACAAUUAUAAAAUUUAUAACUACGAAAUAACUGUUUUAAAUUACAGUUAUGAAGGAGGACUUAAAAGUAAAAUAUAAUAUAUAAAUAUAUUG